rnacentral:rRNA from 1 species
AUGAGCAGCUCCAUCGCGACAACACCUGUCUUCAAGUGGCGACCAUCGCUUCACGCCCACUCAGCCCCUAUGCUUCUGCUGCCCCGACCUUCACCUCAGAUGCCACAAGCAACAGCGGAGCGCCUCUGCGCCUGCCAAGUGCCAAGUACAAGCACCACGCCGUCCCAAGGUGCAGGCGUCAAAAAAAAUGAAGAAGCUUUAGCCCUUCGUCUGGAUGAGCUGACGAUCACUAUACACUCCAAGCUGUGUAAACUGGAGUGUAAAGUGCAGCUUCUUUCCUCCAUGAUGCAUGACCUAAUUGUCAAGUCGACACUGAUGACCCGCUGGCAAAAGAAGGAGCAGACGAUCACAUAUGUUUCAAGCAUUCCGCGCACAAAGUUCAGUAAUCCUUCAUACAAAAAAGCUAUACCGGAGAUAUUACAAGUAUUAAGAGCAGCCUGCAUCAUACACGAGGCAGACGCCACUCAGAUGAGAACUGCCGAUACUGCAUCUCUACCAUUGAUGCAGCAUGCCACGUGA